UACAGAGGUCUCAAGCGUUGUUCGGAUUCAUUGGGCGUAAAGGGUGCGUAGGUGGCGCCGUAAGUCAGGUGUGAAAUUUCGGAGCUCAACUCCGAAACUGCAUUUGAUACUGCGGUGCUUGAGGACUGGAGAGGAGACUGGAAUUCACGGUGUAGCAGUGAAAUGCGCAGAUAUCGGGAGGAACACCAAUGGCGAAGGCAGCUCGCUGGGACGGUACUGACGCUGAGACGCGAAAGCGUGGGGAGCGAACAGG
rnacentral:rRNA from 1 species